UGGGGAAUAUUGCACAAUGGGCGAAAGCCUGAUGCAGCAACGCCGCGUGAGUGAUGAAGGCCUUCGGGUUGUAAAGCUCUGUCUUUUGGGACGAUAAUGACGGUACCAAAGGAGGAAGUCACGGCUAACUACGUGCCAGCAGCCGCGGUAAUACGUAGGUGGCAAGCGUUGUCCGGAUUUACUGGGCGUAAAGGAUGCGUAGGCGGAUUUUUAAGUGAGAUGUGAAAUACCCGGGCUUAACUUGGGUGCUGCAUUUCAAACUGGGAAUCUAGAGUGCGGGAGAGGAGAAUGGAAUUCCUAGUGUAGCGGUGAAAUGCGUAGAGAUUAGGAAGAACACCAGUGGCGAAGGCGAUUCUCUGGACCGUAACUGACGCUGAGGCAUGAAAGCGUGGGUAGCAAACAGGAUUAGAUACCCUGGUAGUCCACGCCGUAAACGAUGAGUACUAGGUGUAGGAGGUAUCGACCCCUUCUGUGCCGCAGUUAACACAAUAAGUACUCCGCCUGGGAAGUACGAUCGCAAGAUU
rnacentral:rRNA from 1 species